GAAUGUACUUUGUACUUUAUUUUCUGAACUGUAGUUUGGAAUUAUUUAUAGUGUAAGCUUACAUUGUUAUGUAUAUUCUCUGAUUACCUGGUUAGAAAGUUAUGCUUUUGCUAUAUUGAUUGUAGACGCCUAGUGUACACUAGAGGUGGUGGCGUACACGGCGGGUCUGUGCACGUGGCUAGUGAGCUUUCGUUGAAGUCCAGGUCGUGACAAAGUGCCGGGGAGCCAAAUCCUCACACUCCCCACCCAUUAAAAAGAGUUUCGUCCCCGAAACUCAUUCACUUCAACCCAAAUUUUAACUCAUACCUCAACUUUAAUUUUCAAA
rnacentral:lncRNA from 1 species